GACGAACGCUGGCGGCGUGCUUAACACAUGCAAGUCGAACGAGACGAUUGAAAGCUUGCUUUUAAAAGUCGAGUGGCAAACGGGUGAGUAACGCGUAGACAACCUGCCUUUGAGAUGGGGACAACAGUUCGAAAGGACUGCUAAUACCGAAUGUUGUAUAUUUUCCACAUGGAAGAUAUAUUAAAGAUGGCCUCUAUUUAUAAGCUAUCGCUCAAAGAUGGGUCUGCGUCUGAUUAGCUAGUUGGUGGGGUAACGGCCUACCAAGGCGACGAUCAGAAGCCGGUCUGAGAGGAUGAACGGCCACAUUGGGACUGAGACACGGCCCAGACUCCUACGGGAGGCAGCAGUGGGGAAUCUUCCACAAUGGACGAAAGUCUGAUGGAGCAACGCCGCGUGAGUGAAGAAGGGUUUCGGCUCGUAAAGCUCUGUUGUCGGGGACGAAUGUGCAGUAUUUGAAUAAAGUACUGCAAUGACGGUACCUGACGAGGAAGCCACGGCUAACUACGUGCCAGCAGCCGCCGUAA
rnacentral:rRNA from 1 species